rnacentral:rRNA from 1 species
GACGAACGCUGGCGGCGUGCUUAACACAUGCAAGUGGAGCGACGAACCAGGGCUUGCCCUGGGGCAGAGCCGCGAACGGGUGAGUAACACGUGGGUAACGUGCCCCAAUGAUCGGGACAACCCGGGGAAACCCGGGCUAAUACCGAAUGUGCUCCCCUCACACCAGCGAGGGGUGGAAAGGAAGCUUCGGCCUCCGCAUUGGGAUCGGCCCGCGGCCCAUUAGCUUAUUGGUGAGGUAACGGCUCACCAAGGCUGCGAUGGGUAGCUGGUCUGAGAGGACGAUCAGCCACACUGGGACUGAGACACGGCCCAGACUCCUACGGGAGGCAGCAGUGGGGAAUCUUGCGCAAUGCGCGAAAGCGUGACGCAGCAACGCCGCGUGGGGGAAGAAGGCCUUCGGGUUGUAAACCCCUUUCAGGAGGGACGAAGCCUCGGCCGUUAAUAGCGGACCGAGGUGACGGUACCUCCAGAAGAAGCCCCGGCUAACUACGUGCCAGCCGCCGCAGUAAGAC